GGGGCCGCGGCCCGGGCGGGCGCGGCGGCCGGCAGCAGCGCGGCCGCGAGCGCGAGCGCGAGCGCGGCGAUGGAUCGUGCCAUCCGGCCACGC
rnacentral:tRNA from 1 species